GAUGAACGCUGGCGGCGUGCCUAAUACAUGCAAGUCGAGCGAAUGGAUUAAGAGCUUGCUCUUAUGAAGUUAGCGGCGGACGGGUGAGUAACACGUGGGUAACCUGCCCAUAAGACUGGGAUAACUCCGGGAAACCGGGGCUAAUACCGGAUAACAUUCUGAACCGCAUGGUUCGAAAUUGAAAGGCGGCUUCGGCUGUCACUUAUGGAUGGACCCGCGUCGCAUUAGCUAGUUGGUGAGGUAACGGCUCACCAAGGCAACGAUGCGUAGCCGACCUGGGAGGGUGAUCGGCCACACUGGGACUGAGACACGGCCCAGACUCCUACGGGAGGCAGCAGUAGGGAAUCUUCCGCAAUGGACAAAAGUCUGACGGAGCGACGCCGCGUGAGUGAUGAAGGCUUUCGGGUCGUAAAACUCUGUUGUUAGGGAAGAACAAGUGCUAGUUGAAUAAGCUGGCACCUUGACGGUACCUAACCAGAAAGCCACGGCUAACUACGUGCCAGCCGCCGCAGUAA
rnacentral:rRNA from 1 species